AACGAACGCUGGCGGCGUGGCUAAGACAUGCAAGUCGUACGGUAGGUUGUAGCAAUAUGGCCUAUAGUGGCGGACGGGUGAGUAAUGAAUAGGUAACGUACCCCGGGCACAGGAAUAGCGUCGGGUCCCGCAAGGGAUCCUUUGCGAAAGUGACGGUAAUACCUGGUGACGUCCUUGAGUGGCAUCAUUCGAGGACCAUACGGUGGGGACCUUCGGGCCUAUCGGCCUGGGAGCGGCCUAUUUCCAUCAGCUUGUUGGUGAGGUAACGGCUCACCAAGGCUUCGACGGGUAACCGGGACUGAGAGGUUGACCGGUCACAUCGGGACUGAGACACUGCCCGGACAUCUACGGAUGGCUGCAGUAACGAAUAUUCCGCAAUGGGCGAAAGCCUGACGGAGCGACGCCGCGUGGAGGACGAA
rnacentral:rRNA from 1 species